CCUACGGGUGGCAGCAGUGAGGAAUAUUGGUCAAUGGCCGAGAGCCUGAACCAGCCAAGUCGCGUGAGGGAAGACGGCCCUACGGGUUGUAAACCUCUUUUGUCCGGGAGCAACGCGAGUCACGUGUGAGUCAUUGAAAGUACCCGAUGAAAAAGCAUCGGCUAAUUCCGUGCCAGCAGCCGCGGUAAUACGGAGGAUGCGAGCGUUAUCCGGAUUUCUUGGGUUUAAAGGGGGCGUAGGCGGAUGUGCAAGUCAGCGGUCAAAUUGCGGGGCUCAACCCCGUACUGCCGUGGAAACUGGCUGCCUUGAGUGCGCGAAAAGUAUGCGGAAUGCGUGGUGUAGCGGUGAAAUGCUUAGAUAUCACGCAGAACUCCGAUUGCGAAGGCAGCUUGCUGGAGCGGAACUGACGCUCAUGCACGAAAGCGUGGGUAUCGAACAGGAUUAGAUACCCUGGUAGUC
rnacentral:rRNA from 1 species